rnacentral:sRNA from 1 species
GUGAAAUAAAUGGGCUUUAAGAUUGUCCUCAAUGUUUUUGAAAAUUAGAGAAUAGUUUUUUAACAAAAUAUUUAAACAACAUUAUCAGUUAUCAUUUUGGUACUUAAUAACUCUUAGACAUCAAGGCAGAUGGAGUUAUUGCCAUGGUGUUAGGACAAGCUGAUUGUGUUAAAGCAUGUGACACACCUAAUUUCAGAAACCAGAGGGGAAAUCGCCGCUCAUUAAAGUUCAAGGAUUUGAAGAUUAUCAUGAAGAAAUAUUCCCCCAACUCCACCAUCUGAAUCACUGAAUCAUAGUUACUAUUCUAGACUUUUGAAGGACUGUGUCUUCAAGAGGCCCUUGUUAAAAUAAUUCCUGUUUGUAGCUUUGACCACCCUCGCUGGGUGAGAAUCUGCACAGUUUAGAGGGAAAAAGUGUGGCACAUUGGGAUGAAAGCAAUCCUAGAAGAUAGAACUCUGGGAAUUCUUGGUCCGGCUCCAACAUGCAAUGGCCAAGCAACCUUGACCUCUUGGUAGCGUGGAGAUGAAUGUACCUCCCAACCUAGCCCACAGACUGUUGUUAACGUCCUAUAAAAUAAUAGGCAACGUGGUAUAUCUAUUAGUUUGACCUUUACAUUUAUAGCUCUAUUCUUGGAACCCGAGUCCCAGCCUUGAUAGCCAACAAUCAAUCAUCCCAAUGUCAAUGCCCCCAUGGCAUUCAUUGUUGUAUCUAUGUACCUUCCUCCCUAGUUACUCCAACUCAAAAUUGGAGUCAUCUUUAUUUUCUAUUUCUGAUGUUCACUUGGUGUCUUGUCUUUUAGACACAGUACUACCACCCUGGUGGUUCAUCAUUAUACAUUUAAGCUAAUUACAUGUUGUUUGGCCAUUUCUUCUCUUUCUGAUCCACCUCAUGUACAUGUCUAAAAUGUUCUCCUUAUACUUCUCUCUCUUUCCAUACCAUUCUCUGUCUCCCUGUUGCCUAUGGGAUAAAGUUCUAAGUUCUCAUUCUGGUUGUUAAGGCCCAUCACAAAGAAGUUUGUCCAGUUGCUACACCCUCCUCAACAUAAAUGCAAAGCUUUGGCAAGUCAGCUCGUACGACUGUCUCAGUCACAAGCAUUAUACUUAUUUCAGCUCUGAGAAUUAGCUUACUCUGCUUCCCACUUCCGUCUUAUGCAUAACAUGGUUUUUUGUUGGUCUAAGUUCUACCUUUAUUUCCAUGCCCAAGUAUGGCACCUCACUGAUUCUGGUUUUGACUCUGAACUCUCAUUUGGAAUUUGGAAUAUCCCUGUUCAUUCUCAUGUUUCAAUAUGUAAUGUUUUCAACUGUCUGUCCUGCCUUUUAAAGUGGAUCUUUAAGAAAGGACCUGUGGCUUUUUCUCUACCAUCCAGCCCUGCCCCUGUUGUGCUGUGUUUAGAAGGGUUGCUAGUCUGAUGAAUAAUCAUUUUAACAGAUCUGCCUAAUUUUUGUGCUCUUCUCAGGUUUAUUCUUUUUAAUGAGCAAGAUACUGUGCUUGACUCUCCUUGGAAAUAUAAUAUUUGCUUGCUGUUGAAAGCCCUGUUUCUUUGCCUUCCAGCUUUUGAAUUUGUCGACUUGGACAGUUUGCUAAGGGGUCAAUUCCUUACCAUUUGGGCAUAAAGGAAAAUGCAUCUCCAUGCUUCAUUUGCUUCAUCUC